rnacentral:misc_RNA from 1 species
AAGUCGUAACAAGGUUUCCGUAGGUGAACCUGCGGAAGGAUCAUUACAACGUAUCCACGUAUAAACCUUUGUGAACCUGUUUAACCGCAUAAUGCGGAAUCGCAAAGUGUAAGUAAUUCGGAAAAAGAGCUUACACCCGCCUUUUCUCGCAAAAGGGGAUUCUGCUAUUGUGUUUUUCCGUUACACAUUAACCACAUGUAAAUUUCUCUGUAAUUACGGUUUAAGGCGAAAGCUUUUAACUGAUAAAUAUAAGAAAUUAUAGCACAACUCUUAGCAACGGAUAUCUAGGCUCUC